rnacentral:rRNA from 1 species
UUCCGUCGCUUCAUUGCUGAUAUGGAGCUGCGCGACGUCUACAUGCACGGCCGCCGCUACACCUGGUCUAACAAGAGGGACUCGCCCAUGCUUGUGCGCAACGACUGCUUCCUAUGCACCUCCGAGUGGGAUCUCGCACAACCACAUGCCUUUCUCCGCUGCCUUGCCUCGACGGUGUCCGACCACCGCCCGCUGCUUCUCAACUGCACUCCACGCUCUGCUGGCCCGAGACGUUUCCACUUCGAGCAGUUUUGGAUCAAGCUUGAAGGUUUUCAGGACACGGUGCCAGCUGCUUGGUGCUCCGUCCAUGACCCGGACCCUUUCCGGUGCGUAUACCUCCGCCUCAAGACCACGACUCGCUGCCUCCAGAGCUGGGGCGCACGCACUCAUGGCCACGUCUCCCUGUGUUGUCUACUACACAACCUUCUUCUUGUAGACGUUGUUGGGCCUCCAAGUGCAGAGGUUUGUAGGAUAGUAUCAAAUUUCCCUCAAGUGGAUGACCUAAGGUUUAUCAAUCCGUAG